GUACCCGCUGAACUUAAGCAUAUCAGUAAGCGGAGGAAAAGAAACCAACAGGGAUUGCCCCAGUAACUGCGAGUGAAGCGGCAACAGCUCAAAUUUGAAAUCCGGCCCCCCCCCAGCCGGGGGCCCGAGUUGUAAUUUGAAGAGGAUGCUUCGGGCGAGGCGCCUUCCGAGUCCCCUGGAACGGGGCGCCACAGAGGGUGAGAGCCCCGUCUGGUCGGACGCCGAGCCCGCGUGAAGCUCCCUCGACGAGUCGAGUAGCUUGGGAAUGCUGCUCUAAGCGGGAGGUAAAUGCCUUCUAAAGCUAAAUACCGGCCAGAGACCGAUAGCGCACAAGUAGGGUGACCGAAAGCUGAAAAGUACCUUGGAAAGAGGGUUAAAAGCACGUGAAAUUGUUGAGGGGGAAGCGCCUGCGGGCCAGAACGCGGGCGCGGCGGAUCACCCGGCGGUCUCCGCCGGCGCACUCCGCCGCGCCCGGGCCAGCGCCGGCCCCCCGGCGGGGGGACAGAGGUCCGGGGAACGUGGCUGCCCCGGCAGUGUUAUAGCCCCGGUCGGACUGCCCCCGCGGGGGCCGAGGAUACCGCGCCUCACGGCAAGGACGCUGGCGUAAUGGGCGCAGGCGGCCCGUCUUGAAACACGGACC
rnacentral:rRNA from 1 species